rnacentral:lncRNA from 10 species
AAAACAACCCCACAGAUGCAUGAGUGAAGGAACAUGGCUCUGAAUCAUGCCUGUCUGUCUCCCCAGGUCUGUGCUUAAAACCACGAAGUUCAAGAUGGAAACUGAAGGGAAGAGUGUCAAGGGGAUGGGAGAGAGGACUUGUCCAUGACUUUGGCAGCAUAAGGAAAAAAUACCCAGGGACAAGUGGCGACUUUGGAAACUCCAUUCCUCUGCAAAAUGACAUCACGAGGAGAGUGGUGGGGCCUGCGGAUGAAAAGAUCUGGCUUCUCCUCCCAACUCUGCUAUGAGGAAGCGCUGGAUGGCCCUGUCGGCCGCGGUCAUCGCCGCCUCGGCCCGGGAGCUCAGCAUUGCAGCCGCACCGGAGGCCUGAAACCGUCUCCUCCGCUACCGCCGCCGCCGCCGCCGGACCGAGGGAUACGACGGUUCCCGAGACAGCGGAACCUGCGGCCGCAGUCCCAGCACCUCGGGGGAACGUAGACCGCAGGACAGCUCCCAGGGGGACCGGAAGUAGCUGCCCCCGGAGAGCAAUAGCUGACGGACCACGUCCUUUCUUUCUUUUCCCUUAGCAACAGGCCCCGGCGUCGGUUGCUACGCUGGGCUCAGUUGCCUGGGGCUGCUUGGUUUUCAGAUUUGCUUAGGCUCCAUUCAUAAAUACAGAUGGCACACUUCUAGGAUG